rnacentral:siRNA from 1 species
AGCUAGAAAGUCAGUGAAAGCUA